rnacentral:rRNA from 1 species
GCUCCAAGAGUGUAUAUUAAAGUUGUUGCGGUUAAAAAGCUCGUAGUUGGACCUUGAAGUUUGGUGGUGCCGGUUCUAGGUAGGCUACGGCCUAGGAGUUAAACCGAGCCUGUCAGCUUUCUCUCUUUCUCAAGCAUUAUGGGAUCUUGGGUGACCUUGAUCCUGCUUGAGAUAGUUUACUUUGAAAAAUUAGGGUGUUC